rnacentral:rRNA from 1 species
UACGAAGGGGGCUAGCGUUGUUCGGAAUUACUGGGCGUAAAGGGCGCGUAGGCGGUCUUGUAAGUCCCGUGUGAAAUCCCUCGGCUCAACUGAGGAACUGCACGGGAAACUGCUUGGCUUGAGUUCGGGAGAGGGAAGCGGAAUUCCGGGUGUAGCGGUGGAAUGCGUAGAGAUCCGGAAGAACACCGGAGGCGAAGGCGGCUUGCUGGGCGUGAUCUGACGCUGAGGCGCGAAAGCGUGGGGAGCGAACAGG